UACGUAGGGGGCGAGCGUUGUCCGGAAUCACUGGGCGUAAAGGGUGCGCAGGCGGUCACUUAAGUCCUGUGUGAAAUGCCCCGGCUUAACCGGGGAGGGACAUGGGAAACUGGGUGGCUUGAGUGCCGGAGAGGGUUGCGGAAUUCCAGGUGUAGCGGUGAAAUGCGUAGAUAUCUGGAAGAACACCAGUGGCGAAGGCGGCAACCUGGACGGCGACUGACGCUGAGGCACGAAAGCUGGGGGAGCGAACAGG
rnacentral:misc_RNA from 1 species